rnacentral:rRNA from 1 species
GAUGAACGCUGGCGGCGUGCCUAAUACAUGCAAGUCGAGCGAAUGGAUUAGGAGCUUGCUCUUAUGAAGUUAGCGGCGGACGGGUGAGUAACACGUGGGUAACCUGCCCAUAAGACUGGGAUAACUCCGGGAAACCGGGGCUAAUACCGGAUAACAUUUUGAACCGCAUGGUUCGAAAUUGAAAGGCGGCUUCGGCUGUCACUUAUGGAUGGACCCGCGUCGCAUUAGCUAGUUGGUGAGGUAACGGCUCACCAAGGCAACGAUGCGUAGCCGACCUGAGAGGGUGAUCGGCCACAAUGGGACUGAGACACGGCCCAGACUCCUACGGGAGGCAGCAGUAGGGAAUCUUCCGCAAUGGACGAAAGUCUGACGGAGCAACGCCGCGUGAGUGAUGAAGGCUUUCGGGUCGUAAAACUCUGUUGUUAGGGAAGAACAAGUGCUAGUUGAAUAAGCUGGCACCUUGACGGUACCUAACCAGAAAGCCACGGCUAACUACGUGCCAGCAGCCGCGGUAA